ACAACAGGUGGAGCCUGCGGUUUAAUCGGACUCAACGCCGGGAAACUCACCAGAUAAGACAGCUGAAUGAUAGUCGGGCUGAAGACUCUACUUGACUAGCUGAGAGGAGGUGCAUGGCCGUCGUCAGUUCGUACUGUGAAGCAUCCUGUUAAGUCAGGCAACGAGCGAGACCCACGCCAACAGUUGCCAGCUCGUCCUCCGGGAUGGUGGGGACACUGUUGGGACCGCCUCUGCUAAAGAGGAGGAAGGAAUGGGCAACGGUAGGUCAGCAUGCCCCGAAUUAUCUGGGCUACACGCGGGCUACAAUGGGUGGGACAAUGGGUAUCGACACCGAAAGGUGAAGGCAAUCUCCUAAACCCAUCCGUAGUUCGGAUUGUGGGCUGCAACCCGCCCACAUGAAGCUGGAAUCUGUAGUAAUCGUGUCUCAAAAUGGCACGGUGAAUAUGUCCCUGCUCCUU
rnacentral:rRNA from 1 species